UGGGCACUUUGUCCUAUAGCACUAAAGAUUACACACUUGGCGCGAACAGUAUCGAUGAUCGUUUAAAUGCUUUGUUGUCAUAUGAUGGUAUAAACAGAAGGUUGUACCUGUAUUUUAAUAAUACAGGAUUUCAUAGUUACAAUUUGGAUGGUUCCAACGCUACCUCCAUACCGAUCAGUAAUAUAAGCUUUUUCACGGUCGAUGGCAAAAGUAAUGUGAUAUAUUAUUUCCACUCACUUCAUAAAAGUAUAUGGAUGUACAAUAUUUCAAGUGGUCAACAAACUGCAGUUGAGGCUCUAUCGGAUAUCUCUGACGUAAGAGACUUGGAAAUCGACAUAGUUUCAGGUUAUAUCUAUAUGGCCAGAUCCUCAAAUCCCCCAAUCAUUCGCUACGAUCCAAAUGAUCAAUCAAU